AAAGGAAUUGACGGGGACUCGCACAAGCGGUGGAGCAUGUGGUUUAAUUCGACGAUAAGCGAAGAACCUUACCAGGGUUUGACAUCUAAGGAACCCGGCAGAAACGUUGGGGUGCCCGCAAGGGAACCUUAAGACAGGUGCUGCACGGUUGUCGUCAGCUCGUGUCGUGAGAUGUGGCCUUAAGUGGUCAAACGAGCGAAACCUGUAUCCUGUGUUGAUUUUCACGGGAGACUGCCCCGGUUUACGGGGAGGAAGGCGCAGACGACGUCAAAUCAGCGUGGCUCUUACACCCUGGGCUACACACGUGCUACAAUGGCAGAUUAUAAAAUGUUGCAAAGCCGCAAGGCCAAGCUAAUCACCAAAAACCUGCCUCAGUACGGAUUGAGGGCUGCAAUUCGCCCUCAUGAAGCUGGAAUCGCUAGUAAUCGUGGGUCAGCUAUACCACGGUGAAUACGUUCUCGAGUCUUGUACACACCGCCCGU
rnacentral:rRNA from 1 species